CAACACCCGAGGCGCUAGCAGGCUCUGUGUCAGAUUCAGGGAUCACAAAGAGGAACGAAACCGGACUCCUGCUCUCACCUCCUGCCAGUUUAAGCCAACAUGCCUGCAGCUUAAACCAGGACGAUGGAACAAACAAAAAGGGAAGCCUGACAGGAGCUAGGCAUUGAAGCAAAUGCCAGUUUCCUGGGGAAAGGUGGGGUUCCAGGCAGCGGGGAACAGCAAGGACAGAGUUAGACCUAUAUAUCAGGGAGUCAGUCCAUCGUGGCUGGAAUCAAGCUGCUCCAAGACUUUGAGGCUCUAGGCCCUAAAGGUUAAAUUUGACUCAGCAUUUCCUCCAAUGACACACACAAUUAUCAAAAGUUAGAACUGGUAAAACAAAUUAGCAUUCAUCUAAACCCCACUCUUGUCACUCUGCAAGAAAGAACUGAGGUACAGAGAAAUGGAAUCCCUUCCAGAUCUCUGGCUCCCACCGCAUCCACACGCGGCCGCCCCUCCAGCAGCCGUCGGAGAUCCAGCUCUGGAUCAGUCCCCCAUCUCUGGGGGCUCAGACCAGCACUUGUACCAUCUCUGGAGGCAAACUGGAGGAAAGGAAGGAGAUGUCAGUGGGUGUGAUGUGUCUCUUCCCCUACUCUAUGCAUUUGGCACUCUACGUGGAUCUGGACCAUUCCUGUCUCCCUGCAGGCUUGAUGGGGAGAUAUUAUAACAAUCAGGAAUCCUAACGUUUUGCCGUAUUUGCUUUUAAAGCAAUAAAACAUUACAGACAUAGUUAAAAUCUCAGGGUUCUGCCUUGCAUAGCCCCUCACGUCACUCUUCCCAAGGUUUAAAAUCCACUUAAGGAAGCAAUUGGUGCCUUCCAGCUCAGCACCUGUACUUCGAUUGAGGGAUACAGUCACUCAGUGGACAGG
ensembl:lncRNA